rnacentral:rRNA from 1 species
AGCGUACACGGUGGAUGCCCUGGCAGUCAGAGGCGAUGAAGGACGUGCUAAUCUGCGAUAAGCGUCGGUAAGGUGAUAUGAACCGUUAUAACCGGCGAUUUCCGAAUGGGGAAACCCAGUGUGAUUCGUCACACUAUCAUUAACUGAAUCCAUAGGUUAAUGAGGCGAACCGGGGGAACUGAAACAUCUAAGUACCCCGAGGAAAAGAAAUCAACCGAGAUUCCCCCAGUAGCGGCGAGCGAACGGGGAGCAGCCCAGAGCCUGAAUCAGUGUGUGUGUUAGUGGAAGCGUCUGGAAAGGCGCGCGAUACAGGGUGACAGCCCCGUACACAAAAAUGCACAUGCUGUGAGCUCGAUGAGUAGGGCGGGACACGUGGUAUCCUGUCUGAAUAUGGGGGGACCAUCCUCCAAGGCUAAAUACUCCUGACUGACCGAUAGUGAACCAGUACCGUGAGGGAAAGGCGAAAAGAACCCCGGCGAGGGGAGUGAAAAAGAACCUGAAACCGUGUACGUACAAGCAGUGGGAGCACGCUUAGGCGUGUGACUGCGUACCUUUUGUAUAAUGGGUCAGCGACUUAUAUUCUGUAGCAAGGUUAACCGAAUAGGGGAGCCGAAGGGAAACCGAGUCUUAACUGGGCGUUAAGUUGCAGGGUAUAGACCCGAAACCCGGUGAUCUAGCCAUGGGCAGGUUGAAGGUUGGGUAACACUAACUGGAGGACCGAACCGACUAAUGUUGAAAAAUUAGCGGAUGACUUGUGGCUGGGGGUGAAAGGCCAAUCAAACCGGGAGAUAGCUGGUUCUCCCCGAAAGCUAUUUAGGUAGCGCCUCGUGAAUUCAUCUCCGGGGGUAGAGCACUGUUUCGGCAAGGGGGUCAUCCCGACUUACCAACCCGAUGCAAACUGCGAAUACCGGAGAAUGUUAUCACGGGAGACACACGGCGGGUGCUAACGUCCGUCGUGAAGAGGGAAACAACCCAGACCGCCAGCUAAGGUCCCAAAGUCAUGGUUAAGUGGGAAACGAUGUGGGAAGGCCCAGACAGCCAGGAUGUUGGCUUAGAAGCAGCCAUCAUUUAAAGAAAGCGUAAUAGCUCACUGGUCGAGUCGGCCUGCGCGGAAGAUGUAACGGGGCUAAACCAUGCACCGAAGCUGCGGCAGCGACGCUUAUGCGUUGUUGGGUAGGGGAGCGUUCUGUAAGCCUGUGAAGGUGUGCUGUGAGGCAUGCUGGAGGUAUCAGAAGUGCGAAUGCUGACAUAAGUAACGAUAAAGCGGGUGAAAAGCCCGCUCGCCGGAAGACCAAGGGUUCCUGUCCAACGUUAAUCGGGGCAGGGUGAGUCGACCCCUAAGGCGAGGCCGAAAGGCGUAGUCGAUGGGAAACAGGUUAAUAUUCCUGUACUUGGUGUUACUGCGAAGGGGGGACGGAGAAGGCUAUGUUGGCCGGGCGACGGUUGUCCCGGUUUAAGCGUGUAGGCUGGUUUUCCAGGCAAAUCCGGAAAAUCAAGGCUGAGGCGUGAUGACGAGGCACUACGGUGCUGAAGCAACAAAUGCCCUGCUUCCAGGAAAAGCCUCUAAGCAUCAGGUAACAUCAAAUCGUACCCCAAACCGACACAGGUGGUCAGGUAGAGAAUACCAAGGCGCUUGAGAGAACUCGGGUGAAGGAACUAGGCAAAAUGGUGCCGUAACUUCGGGAGAAGGCACGCUGAUAUGUAGGUGAAGUCCCUCGCGGAUGGAGCUGAAAUCAGUCGAAGAUACCAGCUGGCUGCAACUGUUUAUUAAAAACACAGCACUGUGCAAACACGAAAGUGGACGUAUACGGUGUGACGCCUGCCCGGUGCCGGAAGGUUAAUUGAUGGGGUCAGCGCAAGCGAAGCUCUUGAUCGAAGCCCCGGUAAACGGCGGCCGUAACUAUAACGGUCCUAAGGUAGCGAAAUUCCUUGUCGGGUAAGUUCCGACCUGCACGAAUGGCGUAAUGAUGGCCAGGCUGUCUCCACCCGAGACUCAGUGAAAUUGAACUCGCUGUGAAGAUGCAGUGUACCCGCGGCAAGACGGAAAGACCCCGUGAACCUUUACUAUAGCUUGACACUGAACAUUGAGCCUUGAUGUGUAGGAUAGGUGGGAGGCUUGGAAGUGUGGACGCCAGUCUGCAUGGAGCCGACCUUGAAAUACCACCCUUUAAUGUUUGAUGUUCUAACGUUGACCCGUAAUCCGGGUUGCGGACAGUGUCUGGUGGGUAGUUUGACUGGGGCGGUCUCCUCCUAAAGAGUAACGGAGGAGCACGAAGGUUGGCUAAUCCUGGUCGGACAUCAGGAGGUUAGUGCAAUGGCAUAAGCCAGCUUGACUGCGAGCGUGACGGCGCGAGCAGGUGCGAAAGCAGGUCAUAGUGAUCCGGUGGUUCUGAAUGGAAGGGCCAUCGCUCAACGGAUAAAAGGUACUCCGGGGAUAACAGGCUGAUACCGCCCAAGAGUUCAUAUCGACGGCGGUGUUUGGCACCUCGAUGUCGGCUCAUCACAUCCUGGGGCUGAAGUAGGUCCCAAGGGUAUGGCUGUUCGCCAUUUAAAGUGGUACGCGAGCUGGGUUUAGAACGUCGUGAGACAGUUCGGUCCCUAUCUGCCGUGGGCGCUGGAGAACUGAGGGGGGCUGCUCCUAGUACGAGAGGACCGGAGUGGACGCAUCACUGGUGUUCGGGUUGUCAUGCCAAUGGCACUGCCCGGUAGCUAAAUGCGGAAGAGAUAAGUGCUGAAAGCAUCUAAGCACGAAACUUGCCCCGAGAUGAGUUCUCCCUGACUCCUUGA